CCUACGGGAGGCAGCAGUGAGGAAUAUUGGUCAAUGGGCGCGAGCCUGAACCAGCCAAGUCGCGUGAGGGAAGACGGUUCUAUGGAUUGUAAACCUCUUUUGUCGGGGAGCAAAGGACGCCACGCGUGGCGUUCCGAGUGUACCCUAAGAAAAAGCAUCGGCUAACUCCGUGCCAGCAGCCGCGGUAAUACGGAGGAUGCGAGCGUUAUCCGGAUUUAUUGGGUUUAAAGGGUGCGCAGGCGGAAGAUCAAGUCAGCGGUAAAAUUGAGAGGCUCAACCUCAUCGAGCCGUUGAAACUGGUUGUCUUGAGUGAGCGAGAGGUAUGCGGUAUGCGUGGUGUAGCGGUGAAAUGCAUAGAUAUCACGCAGAACUCAGAUUGCGAAGGCAGCAUACCGGCGCUCAACUGACGCUGAUGCACGAAAGUGUGGGUAUCGAACAGGAUUAGAUACCCCGGUAGUC
rnacentral:rRNA from 1 species